rfam:Acanthisitta chloris contig73943, whole genome shotgun sequence.
CAUUUGGCUUUCUUCAAAGCCAAACACAGAACUGAAACAGUCUAU